AUAUCAAUAAGCGGAGGAAAAGAAACUAACCAGGAUUCCCCUAGUAACGGCGAGUGAACCGGGAUUAGCCCAACGUGAAAAUCUCUUUGGAGAAUUGUAGUCUAUAGAAGCGCCCUCUGCAGCGGCAGGACCCCAAGUCUGGUGGAAGCCAGCGUCAGAGAGGGUGAGAACCCCGUCGGGUCUAUGCUAGCUGCUCCACGAGGUGCUUUCCACGAGUCGGGUUGUUUGAGAAUGCAGCCCAAAAUGGGAGGUAAAUCCCUUCUAAGGCUAAAUACUGGCGAGAGACCGAUAGCGCACAAGUA
rnacentral:rRNA from 1 species